GACGAACGCUGGCGGCGUGCUUAACACAUGCAAGUCGAACGGAAAGGCCUGCUUUCCCUUGUGGAUUGCGGGUACUCGCGUGGCGAACGGGUGAGUAACACGUGAGUGAUCUGCCCCCAACUUGGGUAUAAGCCUGGGAAACUGGGUCUAAUUCCCGAUAGGACUGCAGGGUGGUGCCUGUGGUGGAAAACGAUUUUCUAGUGGUUGGGGAUGAGCUCGCGGCCUAUCAGCUUGUUGGUGGGGUAAUGGCCUACCAAGGCGGCGACGGGUAGCCGGCCUGAGAGGGUGGACGGGCACAGUGGGACUGAGAUACGGCCCAGACUCCUACGGGAGGCAGCAGUGGGGAAUAUUGCACAAUGGGCGGAAGCCUGAUGCAGCGACGCCGCGUGGGGGAUGACGGCCUUCGGGUUGUAAACUCCUUUCGACCGCGAGGAAGCCACCUGGUUGGAAGGGUGGUGACGGUAGUGGUAGAAGAAGCACCGGCUAACUACGUG
rnacentral:rRNA from 1 species